UCUUCGCCUCAAAAUAAAGCCACAAAUCUCACCUUCAACGAACCCUCUCGGCUCUCUCUCUCCCUCGCUCUCGAUCGUCGUGGCUCGCUAGGCCGCUAAUUUUACUCCGUCCGCCAGCUCCCAAGUCAACACUCGACCGUCAAUCCCUCUAGGGUUUCCGUCCGAGUAGAUCGAAGAACAAGAUGUUUGGGAGGGCGCCGAAAAGGAGCGAUAACACAAAGUACUAUGAGGUAUUGGGGGUUUCCAAGAACGCCUCCCAAGAUGAUCUCAAGAAGGCUUAUCGUAAAGCUGCCAUCAAGAAUCACCCUGAUAAGGGAGGAGAUCCAGAAAAGUUUAAAGAGCUAGCUCAAGCCUACGAGGUACUUAGUGACCCAGAGAAGCGUGAGAUCUAUGAUCAGUAUGGUGAGGACGCAUUGAAGGAAGGAAUGGGUGGUGGAGGUGGUGUCCAUGAUCCAUUUGACAUCUUCCAGUCAUUCUUUGGUGGUAGCCCUUUUGGUGGAGGUGGAAGCAGCAGAGGCAGAAGGCAAAGAAGGGGAGAGGAUGUCAUUCAUCCUCUUAAAGUUUCUUUGGAGGACCUGUACAAUGGAACCUCUAAGAAGUUGUCCCUCUCACGAAACGUGUUGUGCCCAAAGUGCAAGGGCAAAGGUUCUAAAUCAGGUGCUUCAAUGAAAUGUUCGGGCUGUCAGGGGUCUGGGAUGAAAGUUUCUAUUAGACAGCUUGGUCCGUCGAUGAUACAGCAGAUGCAGCAUCCUUGUAAUGAGUGUAAAGGUACUGGUGAAACUAUUAACGACAAGGAUCGCUGCCCACAGUGCAAGGGUGAGAAGGUUGUGCAGGAAAAGAAGGUUUUGGAAGUUAUCGUAGAGAAGGGUAUGCAAAAUGGGCAAAAAAUUACAUUCCCUGGUGAAGCUGAUGAAGCACCGGACACAGUUACUGGGGAUAUUGUCUUUGUCCUGCAACAGAAAGAGCAUCCAAAAUUCAAGCGCAAGCAUGAUGACCUGUUCUAUGUGCACACUCUCUCCCUGACUGAGGCUCUUUGCGGCUUCCAAUUUAUUUUGACUCACCUGGAUGGCAGGCAACUUCUUAUUAAAUCCCAGCCCGGAGAAGUGGUCAAGCCUGAUCAAUUCAAGGCAAUAAAUGAUGAGGGGAUGGUGGUGUACCAGAGGCCAUUUAUGAGAGGUAAAUUGUAUAUUCAGUUUAAUGUGGAAUUCCCGGACUAUCUGGACCCUGAGCAGUGCAAGUCUCUGGAGGCUGUGUUGCCACCAAAGACCACAAAACAAAUUACUGACAUGGAGUUGGAUGAGUGUGAGGAGACCACACUACAUGACGUGAACAUUGAGGAUGAGAUGCGUAGGAAACAACAAGCGCAAGAAGCAUACGAGGAAGAUGAAGAUAUGCAUGGUGGUGCUCAGAGAGUGCAGUGUGCCCAGCAGUGAGUUGGGAGGAAAGUGGUAGAAAAAGGAGCCAAAUCCAGGAGAUGAGCGAGGAAUCAGUAUUUUAUUAAAGCUUUAAUAGUGGACUAUUGUGAUUCAAAACGCGAGUUUGAUAUGCGGUUUACAUGCUUUUGUUUUAUUCUAUCGCAGCAGCGGGUGUUAGGAAUGUGGAUAUUUAACAUCGUGCAUUGUGUGGUAGUAAAGCCAGGAGUAUGAACGGUACUCUGCUUUAAAUCCGAUGAACAAGAACGGUUGCAGCGAGGCAUUGGGUGUGGUGAAUAAAGGUAGCAGUUUGAGGUUUGGGCCCCACAAAUUCAGGUGCAAUUAACCUCACUCACAGCCAUGUUUAUAUUCUGAAGGUACACUGCAGGCAUGGGGGCUGUGAAAUCGCGUCUGAUGUGCUGCCGAACUUGCGGUCCAGUGGCUUCACUUUCUAGUCUCAGGGUCAUCCAUCCUUGUGACAACAUGGGCGUUUUUUUCUUUUUUUUGGGCCGCGAUUUAUCAUUGUUUAUUUGCUCGCCUAUACUCUUUCCUCUUUUUUAUGGUGGUUUAAAUGAAAAAUCAAAAUUGAAAAGCAUAUUCAUGGUGGUUAA